GACUCUCGGCAAUGGAUAUCUCGGCUCUCGCAUCGAUGAAGAACAUAGCGAAAUGCGAUACUUGGUGUGAAUUGCAGAAUCCCGUGAACCAUCGAGUCUUAGAACGCAAGUUGCGCCCCAAGCCUUCAGGCCGAGGGCACGUCUGCCUGGGUGUCACAAAUCAUUGUCCCCAUCCUUUACGGAUAAGG
rnacentral:rRNA from 1 species